CUUGCCUCUUUAACAAAAACAAGAACCACAAGAAACGCGCACUGCUUCUACACAACACACAGGUAGCACGCACCGCAAUCCCAACCCUGACCUUCUCCAACCGUGAACUGCUUCUAGAAACGCUGCAGACCAGUGAUGAUGCAGCAUGGUCCAACUGUAUGGAGACUUUGAGUUUUAAUUGGAAUCUGGUGCCAACUGGAGAAGAUGUUGAGGUACUGUUGAUAUUCAAUGGCCUCCAUGCACUUGAAACAAUUCAUGGGAAGCAGAAACAAGGGAGUAUCUCAGACACCAUAUUUUCAGGGAGACCCUCUACUUUGCUUUAAUUAUAUAGUUCAUUGAGGACAAUGCAAAUAUUUUUAAGUUGGGGGAGGCUUUAUUUUGAUAGAUAUGUUGGGAUGAGUGUGAUAUUGUCAUGAUGGAUGAUAAUUUGGUAGAUUGAUUUUAUUUUGGUAUUUUUUUUAAUGACAUUUAAAUUAGUAUGAUUUUUUUUUUUUUGACUAGCUUCUUUAGUUUAGUUGUAGGAAUGGUGUUGGGAUGUGCUUUUUGCACUUUGGUCAAUUUUUGGCUUGCUUGGUACCAACAUAUUUAAACAUUAGCAUAUGAAUUGUUGAAUUUUGAAAAAGAAAAAUGAUUGAAGUAA